rnacentral:rRNA from 1 species
CCUGGUGAUCAUAGCAUCGUGGUCCCACCCGAUCCCAUUCCGAACUCGGAAGUUAAGCACGAAUGCGCUGAUGGUACUGCAUGGGCAGCUGUGUGGGAGAGUAGGUUGUUGCCAGGU